UUUUAAGGUUUUUUAAAAAACUUUUUUUUAAACGUUUUUGGGAAGAAUUUUUUUUUUUUACGUCUUUGCACCAGGCAAGAGUCCUAAACUGUAUAAAAUAUUAAAGUGGUAUGUUUAGAAAUUGUUUAGCUGUUUAGAGAUGGUUCUGCAGAGGAUCUGCUACAGAAGCUGACAUGGUUCUGUAGAGGAUCUGCUACAGAAGCUGACAUGGUUCUGCAGAGGAUCUGCUAAAGAAGCUGAGAUGGUUCUGUAGAGGAUCUGCUACAGAACCUGACAUGGUUCUGCUAGAGAAUGUGGUGAUGUAUAAUGCACAACAUCAUUCAAAAGUGUAAUCUCUCCCUCCACUGUUGAUACUACGCCAGUGGUGCCUUGAGGCUUUCAAAACCUUGAAGUUUCUCCAAUGCCAUAAACAAAAUGCAAAACCUAUAAGCACUGUGACAAGUGUCUAGUUUCUCUUACUGUAAUUCUCUUUUAUACAUGCCUUAUUUGUUGUAGGUUUUGUUUUUUACAGUUUAUAUUUAAAUUUACAGUCAAGUUUACAGUUCAGCAUCAGAUUUAACCCUGCUGGGAAGGGAAAAAAAACCAAUAGAAACUCUCACAGAAGUUGUAAUGGAUUUAAUGGUUAAAAUGGGAAUUGUAUUGGUUUUAAUGGAAACUCUAAUGGUCCCAGUGUGUUUCUACUGGUAAUUUGUUGAAUUCUAUUGGUGGCAUGCUAUGUCUAGUGGAUACCAUUAAGGACCAAUAAUGGUAAUGGUUGUAAUGCGUAGCUAAUGGUUUGUAAUGGUAUUUGUUGUGAAACCACUAGAACAUCUGUAACAGUUUCCGUCAUAAUUAUUAAAUGGUUUUUAAUAAAUGCUUACUUCGUCUUGAAUGGCUGAUUCGGAUUAUUUCUGAUGACAUGCUGUAGAUUGGGUCUAAUUUGUUACCUGAGUGCCAAAUUCAUAUUUUCCCAUUUCCAAAAAAAUUAUCUUUACAAAAACACUUCUUGUUACUUUAAAAACAGAUUCAUGGACUGGGCACACCUUGUGAUCCAAUCACAACCCAUAGGAUUAUUCACUAAAAAAUAUACACAUGUAGUACUCUUCCAUUUUUUAGUGUUUACACUCUAUUUCUAAUCAGAUCUUUGAUAGUUUUCAGCAGUAGGAGUGUGUUCAUUUCAAACAAGGGUGGCAGUGAUGGAAAAAGAACUUUAAUAACAUUUAACUGUCAUUGUGAGACCUUAGAAGUGGGUGUUUUUGCAAAGCUUUUACAUCUGUCUGUUCUUCUGGGUUCACAGAAGAGUGCUUGAAGUUAAAAUUAGCUUUUUGAAGAGCGCUCGCUCUCUCUCUCUCUCUCUCUCUCUCUCUCUCUCUCUCUCUCUCUAUCUCCAUCUCUCUGUCUGCUCCUUUCUGUUCUCCUUCUGCUAACACACAUUCACAUCUCAUGUUGACACGGGUGAGAUUUCUCUAUCUCUAUCAGAGUCUCACUGACACUGUCAUAUUUCUUUUUUUUUUUUUUUUUAGCAAUUUAUAGCCAAAAUACUGUACAUCAACACAACCAACCUUAACAACCAUCAUUGUUUGUUGUGCUUAAAAAGAAAGACAUGUUCAGCACUGACAGCAUCCUGCCCCUCAUUUAUAUUGAUACUUAAUGAUUUGUGAUGUUCGAAUAAUGCCAGUAUAAUCCUGGCUGGAGAAAGAAGUGCAGAAAAGUUUAUUUAUUUAAAAAUUAUGAUAAAUAAAUCACGUCAAGAACUUGCUGUUGUGCAAAUGAGGUCUCCUGGGUCGUCCUUUGAAAUGUAAAAACGAGUGCCUGAAAAUGCUUAAAAGUGUAAUAUUUCUUUUGCAACUUCAUAUCCAUGUCAUAAAGCACGCAUAUAAUUAUAUUUGUAUAUUAAUGUAUGAUGUUUUGUAGAAAUUGUAAUAGGGAUUGUAGAUUGUUUGACUAUUGUGCUUUAUUAUAAAUAUCUUAAAAAAGUAAAGCGCUGAGAUUUG
ensembl:lncRNA